ACAACUGAAGAGAAUUGAUGAUUUAAUCAUUAGAAAUAUGUUUAAUCGUUUCAUUUCAUUCAAUCACUUUGAAAAAAAAAUUAUUUUUUGACAAUAUAUUGAAUAUCUCAGAAAAUAAGAAAAAUAAUGAAAAAAUUCUUCUUUCUUCAAAUAAAAUAUUAAAUGAUAUUUAUUUUAUUAAUAUUAAAUAUUAAAUUUACAUUUAUUAUAUUGAUUAUUAUUUAAUAUAAUUGAUUAUAUUGAUAUUUAUAUAUCUUGAUGUAAUUUUUAAAAGAAUUGAGCCAUUAUAAAAAUUCUUCUCUCGAAUUGUUUUCCAAAACUUACCUUUGCCACUGUGAACAGGGACGUCUCUCCUUAAAACAAGUUACUUGUAUCACAUUAAAAAAAAGAGCACCAAGAGUAUUCGCGACUUCCGAAUUAAGAUUCUGCAAACAUCUACGGAACUUCGCAUCGCAGUCACAGUGAGAUCGUGUGAAAGGCGAGUUGUUGCAUAUACCAUGAAUGCACUUCUUAGGAGAUAUAGUGAUAGGACAAUGGUCGUGUUCUCUACAACAUGCAUCCUCGGCUGCAUGGUGUCCGAGAUCAUCGUACGAUUUCGCUAAAGUACCUGGGCCACACCAUUUUGUACCUGGAUAAAUCAAUCCACCUCCUGGAGGUUGAUUCUGUAACAAAGUGAAUUUAUUUUUUUAUAUUUUUAAUUUUAUAUUUUUAUUUUUAUAAUUUUUCAAGAUUUAUUUAAUACAUAAAUAACAGUGAAAUAUUUACUAUUAAAAAUUUUACUUAAUGAUGUAAUUAUCUUUGUACGAAGUUAUAUUCUACAUUAAGCGAAUUAAUUAUGAUCUUGCUUGAUAUCUAUAGUUUAACAUCUGAAAAGAUUAUUUAGUACCUUUCCCUUGUCUCGAGAGGCUUUACACGUUUCUUCCAAAUCUGCUACGAGAUUGCUUGACAUUUGACGGACUUUUUUUGGGUCAGCACCAAGAACCAUUUUUUGAAUAACACCACGAUCGGUGUACAAGGCACAGAAGGGCGCAUCCGCAUUUAAUUCCACCAUUCUUGACAUAGUGGUAUCUGCCACGAGAACACUAGCCUCAAUUUCACCCCCCCAGAGUGUUGGUAUAAGUAAUAGAAAUACUGCAAGCAUCUAUCAAUCAAAAUAAUUUUUACAAAAAAAUGAAAUAAACGUUUAAAGGAUAUUAAAUCAGAAUCAGUUUUAAAUUUUUCAUUAUUUUUAGCGUUAUAUAUUUUGGUAGAAGAAUCCUGUAUAUAAAUUAUAAAUAUGUAUAUUAUGAUUUAAUAUAUCACAGAAAUCGCAUAGAAAUUUAAAUUUUUUUUUAUUCAAAUUUAAAAAUAAUUUAACAAAAAUAAAUUAAACGUUCAUUGCUAUAAAUAUGUUCAUUCAUUGCUAUAAAUAUAUAUAUAUUUAUAAUAAUAAUAAUAACAAUUAUCGAAAAGAGAAUCAAAUAUCCUUAAAUAUUUAAUUUUACUAUUUCGUAAAACAAUGAAUGUAUAGUUGAUUUUCAAUAAAAAAAAAUCCUUUGCCUAAUCUUCCUGUCUUCUAAAAACUCAAAAUCAAACUUGUACAUAAACAUUUCCAAUGAGGAUAGUAGGUCGACAAUGCGCAAACAUUUCCUAACUUUUCUGUAAAUAUAUCGAA